CCUACGGGCGGCAGCAGUGGGGAAUAUUGGGCAAUGGAGGCAACUCUGACCCAGCAACGCCGCGUGAAUGAUGAAGGUCUUCGGAUGGUAAAGUUCUGUGAUGGGGGAGGAACACAAUGACGGUACCCCAAUAGCAAGCCACGGCUAACUACGGGCCAGCAGCCGCGGUAAUACGUAGGUGGCAAGCGUUAUGCGGAAUGACUGGGCGUAAAGGGGGCGGAGGGGGUUUAGGAAGGUGGCGGUGUAAUUCCGGGGCUCAACCGCGGCGCUACCGCCCAAACUCUUAGACUAGAGUGCAGGAGGGGUAAGUGGACUUCCUAGUGUAGCGGUGUAAUGCGUAGAUAUUAGG
rnacentral:rRNA from 1 species